UCAUUUUUGUGAAAUAGGAAUGCAGAUAUUACUUUAUUUUGAUACAGAUUAUUAACCUCCAUAUUUUUCAGUAUUUUUUGUACAUCAGGAUUGUCUGUUUUUCAUAAAAUAUGCUUUCUUUAAGGAAAAAGAUACUAAAUUUUCAUACGCGUUGCCUAAAAUGCAAAUAUUUCUUCAUUUUAGUGAAAUUAUUGACCGCAAUUUUUGUACUUUUUAUAGUUUAAAGUAGGUUGUUUCUCAUAGAUCAUAAGAUUUAAAAUAGUUUAACUUUCAUUUUUGUGAAAAAGGAAUGCAGAUAUUACUUUAUUUUGAUAAAAAUUAUUAACCGCCAUAUGAUUUUAGUACUUUUGGCCCUGUUAUAGAUUUGAGGGGAGCUGUAUUGGACCCGAGACUCGACGACACCUUAUCGAGAUUAUACAGAAAAAUCAAACUUCUGAGGAUUCACUAUAAUUCGUGGGGUACAAGUUUUAAUGGAUUUCGUUGGUAUAGAUAUACCACAAAUUACAGUUAUGAGGCAGCAAUUCAUCUACAAAGUUGAUCUAAGGACAGUUCCAUAUGAAUAAUAGAAAAUGUGUGUGAAAUGCGUUACACAUAUAUAUACGAGACAACAACCUAAUGACAAAAUUUACAUGAGACUUUCAAUUUUAGUAAAGAAGAUGUUGGUAUUACGUAUAGGCAGUUAUAAAUGACAAAAUAAUAAAACUAAUCAAUACACAACUGCGUUGUAUGAUAUCAAGAAGGAUUUUCGGUCAUAAUUGUCAAUACGGAGCUUCGGUCAUGAUUAUCAAUAAGAAGAUUCGGGCAUGAUUAUCAAUGAGGAGAUUCUGACAUAUUUGGCAAUAAGGAAGAUAGAGAAGAUGUUGGUAGUAUAUGAGGCAGUUAUGUAAUGCAAAAAUAAGAAAAAUAAUCAGUACGCAUUAAAUACGU
rnacentral:lncRNA from 1 species